CUGAUCCAGGGAGGGAGGGAGCUUGCAGGCUAAAAGGGCAGUGGAGGCUGAGCAGAAGCAGGUGGAGAAAGUGUGCCUUUCCUGUUCCCAGCUCCAAAGCAUCUCCCUCCCCUGCACAAGGGAGCCCAGGAUGCUGCAGGGGACAUGGUGGACACCUGGACCACACCAACACAUGACCCAGUGAGCUUCCCAAGACAGCCUGGGCUAUAUGGAUCAUUCUUCUCCACCCCAACCGCAGCACAGCCCUUACCUGGAAGAAUGACGAGCCCCUGCCCCAAAAGGAAAAGAAAGAAACAGAGUCAAGAAGGAAGAGAAAGAAAGACCAGGAGAGAGAGAAUGAGAGUCUGAGCAGGAGGGGCAGAGGGAAAGGAAGACAGAAUCGACAGAAUCCCCGUUGACUGUGGAGCCUGAUGCGGGGCUCCAUCCCAGGACCUUGAGAUCACCACCCAGUCGAAAUCAAGAGUCAGACACUCAACUGACUGCACUAGCCAGGUGCCCUGUAACAAAAAAUUUCUAAAAGCUUUUUACAAAAGUUACAGAAGAAACACUGUCAUUUUUUAAAAAGAUAAACAGUUCAGAAGGACAAAUGAAAAAUGGACGUUUCUCUGCUCUCCCCAGCCCCACUCCCCAGAUGUAACCCCACCAACAGCUUCCGUUUUUAAUUCUCCAGUAAUCACCACUUAUCCCUUUGUAUAAUAUAUUUGUCCAGUCUAGACAGUAUCUCUUGUCUUCUCCCUAUGAAGAAUGGGAAAUUAACUUUGUCAUCCCCCUUUACUUUCUACAUUCCAAUAUUUGUUUAUAAAUUUCUUUUUAGGUCUUGCAAUAGUUGCCUUUAAAAUGCUGAGUUUCAGGGUACCUAGUAGCUCAGUCAGUUAAGUGUUUGCCUUUGGCUCAGGUCAUGGUCCUGGGGUCCUGGGAGUGAGCCCCAUGUGGGGCCCCCAGCUCAGUGGGGAGCCUGCUUCUCCCUCCCCCCAACCGCUUGUGCUCUCUCUUGCGCUAUUUCUCUCUCUCUC